CGCGACACCGAUCACGACCAGUAUGCGCGUGCGCUCGACAUUGACGCCAAGCGAGGCGGCGGCGUCCUCGCCAAGUGUCAGUGCACGGAAGGCGCUGGCGUUGAACGCGAGCACGAACCAGCUCACGAUNNCGGCGAGCCAGACAUGCUCCAUGCUGCGGUCCCGCAACGAUCCGAGCAGCCAGAAUGCGAUCUCCAAUGCGAUGUACGGAUUGGGCGCAAGAUUGAGGAUGAGCGCGAUGGCC
rnacentral:misc_RNA from 1 species